AGCUAAAUAGUUUGGUUUGGCAUAAUUACAUUAGAUUGCAAGCUUGUUUAUUUGGUAUGACAGUACCAUUCAAUAAAUUUCUUAACAGAUGACUUCUUGCUUAAUGGUUGGGAAUGUGUGUAAAUAUUUUGAUUAGGCUUAAAGGGAGUUGUGUAGCUCACCAUGGAAGGUGGAGGUCUAGGAGGGACCAAUACUAAAAACCAUAUUUGCCUGUGUAGGGG
rnacentral:lncRNA from 1 species